CUUUCUUAGGCUAUCCACAUCAGCAACUCUUCUAUGGUUGAUCCACAUCAGCAUCCUCAAAAUUAACUUCUUCUUCCACUAUGAUUCGACAGUUACAUUCUCCUGUUUUUCAAUUUCCACUAUCAUCAUAACUACCCUUAAACCCCAUCCUCUUUCACGGUUACGAAAUUUCCAUCUCCCCCCUUCCAAUCUUCUUCUACAGCGGUUUCACAAAACCCUUUCUCUUCCAAAUAGUUUCUAAUUUCUCUGUAACAUGGAUUCGUUAAACUUUCUCUGUUACAGUUACAGAUACUUUAAUUCUCUACCCAUCCACGAUCUAAACUGCUACACUUUUUGUUGAUCAAUAUACGCCCAUCCACGUUCCAAUCUUCUUCUUCUACAGCGGUUUCAGACAACCAUUUAUCUUUCAUUGGGCUUCUGAUUUAUUCGUCUUUUCUCUCUUUCAACUUUGAUUUUGAUUUAGUUUUCAAAGUUUCAGGUUUCAUGGUGUUGGCUCACGCGGAAGAGGAAAGAUCCAUCGCCGAUACAGUUUCUGAUGAUGCGUCGGUGUUGGUUGUGGUGGACGGAGAUUAAUACUCUAAAAGAGGUUCGAUGAUGAAGCACAAGUUUGCUUGGCCAUAAAAAAGAAAGGAUGGCAAUGAGAGAGAUUGAUCGGUUCUUUUUAGUAUUUUGAUUUUGUUUAUGCUUUGAAUUUCAGGUGGCUGUUCGUUUUGAUUUGGGUAUCAUUUACCUAUGUUUGUAUAGUUUGAAUCAUUUUUUGGUUUCUGGCGCAGGGAGAUGAUAUUCAUGCUGUUGUUCCAGCACCGCAUGUGUCGGUGUUCACCAAAAAAUGUUUAUUAGGGCAUACUUAUACUGUAUCUAAUUUUAAGGUGGUGCCUUAUGUUCUGGCGUUCAGAGCUUCACCUCCGUCUUCGAAGCACUCCGAUUGUCCCUCUCUCAAUCCACCGACACCUCACUACAUCAUAUUCAAUGCUUCACCGACGCCGCCGGUCAUCUUCAAGAAUCCGUGCUUGAUGCAGCAACUAAAGGGAAUCGAUAUAUAAAUUCGUGUCUCAAGUAAGUUUUUAUACGUGUUUUACAAUUAGCUUUACUUUUUGAGUUAGGAUUCUCUAUUGUCGCAGUUUUUCAUUUAAAAAUUACAAUUAGCCUACUCUGACAUUGUAACAUGUGCUAACAUGUUCUGGUGGCUAGCUGAAAGCGAUGGCCGAAUCGUCUUGCUUCCGAACCAGCAUUGCGGUUAAGUAUUUCUCAGAUGAUUGGCCAACUAAUAGUGAAAAGGAAACUUUUGAGAAGUUUGUAUUCACCAAGACUCAGAAGAUAAGGUUGUAUUAUAGUAAUAAUCAAAAUAGUGCUGCAGAUGCUGGUUUAUCUUUUGUAUGCAAUGAAGACUCUUUAAGAUAAGGUUUUUUUAUAGUAAUAAUCAAAAUACUGCUAUAGAUAUUGUUACUGCUGACUUAUCUAAAAGUGUUCUGAAAAGUGAUCAUUGCCCUGGAUGUCAAAAUUCAAGAUUGCAGAACCGAAAUUUUGCAAAAAGUAAUUUCGAGGAACGAAGAGGGCUUUCGUUGAAAUUCGCUACUGCAAAUCCGAAUCACAAUGCUGGAACUAUGUCGACGCCACCAUCGAAAGAUAAGUGUUUCUCUAAAAUGUUGCAAGGUAUUUCAAAUUUAACUAUUUGAACUAUUUGAACUUAUCUACUAAAAUAAGCACGCGUGAAAUUGUUUGGAUGAGCUUUUACAAACAAAUUAUGUCCAUAAGCUUUUUCAAAGCUGUUUGGAUGGGCUUUUAAAAACUGAUAGGGACUGAGUUCGUUUGUAUGAAUGUGCAGGGCUGAACAUGGAACUGUUAUGUUAGUCAAAGAAAUGGCAACACAAGAAGUUGAUUCACAAAUUCUGUUGACUAUAGUUGAAGAAUUUAAACAUGUUGUAUCUACUGCAAAAAAGGCAUUUCUAGCAUGACGUAACACUCCGGUUACGACACGUCAACGUGUUAUGUUAAAGCUCCAGGAGCUCAUUUGCAGAGAUACGAUGAGCAUCUUACGACAUUAGACAACGUGGAUAAACUUGCUUUUAAUGUGACCACUGAACAAGGAAAGACACUGAAGGAUGCACAAGGGUAGAUGUAUUUCGUGGCU